ACUGAGCAGAUUGAAAUAUCGCUUUCUACAUGUUUACACAGGAACUGGGAACAGGAUGCAAGAGCAGUGCGGAUAAAGGAACACACACAGGACAGCACAGCAGAGAGAGAGCGAGAGAGAGGACAUGCAGUCAGGCUACAGCAUCUCCGUUACUAAACACUGACUCCCUGUAAUGCAGCAGAACUGAUGAUCUGAAACACUAGAGGAACACCAGCCAAGGAAAAUAUACUCGGAGCAGUCCUUUGACAGUUAUGAAGAGUUCCACCUAGCAAUGAAAGCAUGGAGUGCAGAGGGUGACCAUCCAAUGCAUAAAUAAAGAUCUGAAAAAAUACACUGUUCAGAUAUAACUGUCUGAAGUACAUUUAAGUACUCUAAUUUGACCCUUUCUUGUGUCCAUUAUGGAGUCAUCAGUAUACAAAAAAGUUAGAAAUGUUUGAUCCAGUGAAAUCAAAUUAUAUUUGGAAAGAAAAUAAUUCAUUAGCAUGGGCUAUUGUUUAAAGUGGCUGCUUCCUAGAUGUGCAUGCAUGUGAAACCACUAGUCGGCAAACCAAGAUGGACUUGCAUUUAGCACCUUUAACUAUAACUAAGAGACAUAUCAUAUGCUUUGAUAUUCUGAAAGGCAAUGGACUGUCCUGUAGUCAUUAAGAUUCAUUUUGACAAAAAUGUCAACAAGCUGGUUGUUAGCAACGUGGCUGAAGAACACAACCAUCCUGUAUCUGCUGAGCUGUUUGCAAAGUAUGCCCACAACAGACGACCAAAUGCGAAGGAAAGGCAAGAAAUUGAGAAGUUGUUGGAAUUGAAGCUUGUCUAAUUCUAGCUAAGGAAUCUUGUUCUGAAGAAUCCCCUGCCAAUCCCUUGCCAUCACCUCAUUUCCUUGUUCCCACCGAAUCCUCGGAAAUAUCAGUAAGCGAAAUCUUCACUGUUUGUGGAAUCACUGUACACAAACUGGACCUUGAGACUCUUGAACCUGGAGCAUGGCUCAACGACAAUAUCAUACAGGCAUACCUUGGAGUCCUGUCAGAGGAAUCUCCCAAGAAAGUGUUUGUUCUCCAGUGCGCUGUUGUGCACUUCUGGGUACAGGGCAAACACACUACAUGGGACUACAAAAAGGUGCGUUUGGAUGACUAUGACUGGAUUCUUCUGCCGGUAUGCAGACAUGCACACUGGUUCCUUGUUGCUGCCAGAGUGAAACUAC